rnacentral:rRNA from 1 species
CCGCGGUAAUACGUAGGUGGCAAGCGUUGUCCGGAAUUAUUGGGCGUAAAGGGCUCGCAGGCGGUUUCUUAAGUCUGAUGUGAAAGCCCCCGGCUCAACCGGGGAGGGUCAUUGGAAACUGGGGAACUUGAGUGCAGAAGAGGAGAGUGGAAUUCCACGUGUAGCGGUGAAAUGCGUAGAGAUGUGGAGGAACACCAGUGGCGAAGGCGACUCUCUGGUCUGUA